ACUGGUGGUUCAUUUUUCCACUCCGCUAAACUGUCAUCUCAAACAAAAACAAAUGGAUCAUACAACUGCUAUGAAUACAUUCGACUCGUUUGCUUCCAUCAAUCGGUAAGUGAGAAAGAUGUUUUCUCCCAUCACCACAGUGCGGAUUUCCACUUCUAUCACAGCAGCCAACAACAUCCGUUUUCCUGCAGCAGCAACCUCCAACCCCUGUUGGCAAUGCCGGGGGACAGCAUCAACAGCAGCAGCAGCAAAAUUUGACCAUGGUAUGGUAUUGCGAAGAACUUUCCCCAUUUGAGGUUCGUGCUUCGCGCACAUUCAAAAAUCCUCUUCAGACACGAAAACUCAACGACAAGGAGGUAUUUAUCAACUUGCUCAGCUGAAUUACCACCCGGAGGAACCCGAAUGCACUAAUUCCAUUGUAUAGUAGAAUGAAAAUAGGUGAGGUAAGCGAACGUAAUCGCAUGUUAAUUUAAUGUUCGCAUUUUUAUCCGGAUCAUACAACUGUUAUGAAUACAUCCGACUCAAUCAAUCGGCAAGUGAGAAAGAUGAUUUCCCACAUUGCUUAUUUCCCCUUCUGUCACACCAGCCAACAGCAUCAGCUUUCCCGCAGCAGUAUCCUUUAAGUCCAGGGUGCUAUUCCGGGGAACAGCAUCAACAGCAACAGCAGCAGGACCUGGCCAUCGAUAGUAUUUCGAGCAAUUUUCCCCAUCGGAGAUCCCGUGCUUCACGCACAUUGAAGAAUCCUCCUCAGCCACAUAUCUGUGUCAUCAAGGGCAAGGAGGUAUUCAUCAAUGUACUCAGUCGGAUUUGAAUCGUCAAUCCAGAAAACCCGGAUGCACCGAUUCCAUUAUAUA